rnacentral:lncRNA from 1 species
CCCUUCACACAGGAAAAUCCCGUGGAAUAGGUUCUGUAUGUGAUGCCUCAUGUACUGUUUAGAUUAGCUGGCCUCCAGGGAAAACUCCCAUGGCCAGCAGCUACUAUUUCCCUGCCCUCAAUGUCUUAAGAAAGACUUGAAGAACUCUGGACCUGGCGUCAGGAACUGUGUGCCGGCCCGGCUCUGCCUUAUGUUACUCGGGUCACUGGGACUCCCUGUCACCUCUGGGCCA